GGCUUCAUGGUUGAGUGGUAAGGACACUUGCCUCUCACCCUGGUAUUCCGGGUUCAAUCCCCGGGCAAGGAGCUA